AGGGUUUGAUUCUGGCUCAGGACGAACGCUGGCGGCAUGCCUAACACAUGCAAGUCGAACGGAGAUUACUUCGGUAAUCUUAGUGGCGAACGGGUGAGUAACGCGUAGGCAACCUGCCCUUCAGAUGGGGACAACAUCCCGAAAGGGGUGCUAAUACCGAAUGUGAUCACAACCUCGCAUGAGGAUGUGAUGAAAGAUGGCCUCUAUUUAUAAGCUAUCGCUGAAGGAUGGGCCUGCGUCUGAUUAGCUAGUUGGUAAGGUAACGGCUUACCAAGGCGAUGAUCAGUAGCCGGUCUGAGAGGAUGAACGGCCACAUUGGGACUGAGACACGGCCCAG
rnacentral:rRNA from 1 species